rnacentral:lncRNA from 1 species
AUACGAUGAUAAUAACAUUGGUUCAACAAAGGCUUAAAACAAAGGAAAUCAGCUGUGUACUCAAUCAUAUGGGCAUAAAAUAAGGUAAGUCUGCAUUUCAACAGUUUCCAUGACAACUCUCUAAAAUUACAAAACAUGCAGUUGUCCUUUAAUAUAAUGCAAGUCUGUGUUGUCUUUUAACAGUGAGAGGCAUCUGAGACGAGUUUUAAAACUUCUAGGUUGAAGCGAAGAUGCCCCCAACGACCUUUUACUGAAAUCCACAAAGCAGUGGAGAGUGAGAUGAAACAGUGUUCUCCUGAACAAGGAAUCAGGGCAAUGGUAAAGCGGGUAAGGGAUGUCAGAGGAGUGCGGCCUUGUUACAGAGACGAUGUUGCUAAUAUAAUGAGGGAUAUGGAUGCAAGUGGUCUUCAGAGGAGAUCUCCUGGAAAGAAGAAAAUUCCCCGUCGGAAUUACAUCAGCCGUGGUCCAAAUGACACCUGGCACAUUGAUGGCAAUGAUAAACUGAAGUUCUUUGGAAUGUGGAUACAUUUGGGGAUUGAUGGGAAGGUUCUAUGGCUAAAGGUGGGCACAUCCAACCGCAAACAAAACUUUGUGGCCAGAUACUUCUUUGAGGCUGUUCAAGAACAGGGUGGCUGUCCUCAAAUGAUUCGGGGGGACAGAGGAAAGGAGAACCUUGUUGUUGGUCAAAUGCAGAUGGCAUUUCACAUGCGAGAUCUUGGGAAUCAGGCAUGGAGGUGCUUCAGAAUGGGGACAUCAGUGCACAACCAGAGAGCUGAAUGUUUUAACAGUAUUUAA